UUUGGUUUUAGACUAUGUUUUCUUUCCAUUUUCCGCCCUUUGGUCUCUCUGCAGUUGAUGAUUAAAGGGUUGUUUGUUGCUGAGAAACCAUGGUUCGGUCGUGGUGGAUCUUUGUAUUUUUCGAUUGUGGUUUUAGAUGCGUGUAUAGAUUUUGUGUUUGAAGAUUUUUUUUUCUCAUUUUGAACAGGUUUUUUUGAAAGGUUUGUGGGUUUGGGUUUUGCUUUUAAUUUCGAGGGAUUUUGGUUUUUAUUUUUUUUUUCCAAAUUCUGUUUGCAGGGUUGGAAGACAUCGGUGUUGAGGCUGAAAAAUCUCACCGGAGGCCCAGAAACCUCUCGGUCAAUUUUCUCGAACUCUCUCACCCAGCUCCUCCACUUCUUCCCAUCAAACUUCAAUUCGUCGGUCAUACACCGAAACCGCGCAAGGUUUCGUCUAUCUCAGUCAACUCUGACCAACCCCAACGUCAGUUACUUUCCAGCAUCCUGACAAUACUGAUAUAGCAUCGGAUGUAAGGUUUUCCUCUUUCUUCUUUCUUUUUCCAAAUUUAUUGAAUUUGUAUUUCAUUGUUUGGCCUAUUACCCUCAUAUUACAAUCAACUCUUCAAUUGUUGGUGUUAGUUGUAGAAACAUUAAUAAAAAUCAUGCCAAGAACAUGAUCCAUGGUAAAAAAAAAAAAAAAAAAAGGGGUCUACCAAUUUUUGUUUGAAAAUCAUAAAUUUUCUCUCAGAAAUUCAAGAAAUGAAGAUUCUCUGUCUGUUUUUGUCUUUUGUGGAGACCCAAUCUGAAUUGUGUUUUCUUCAAGGUCGAUCUCGGCCGAGGGUUUUAGACCUCUUUAUUUUUCCAGAUUUUCGGAUUAUUCCCUCAGAAUUAGGGAAUUAAAUUGUUCCUAUUAUUCAGUAAAAUCUAAAAUGACAUGCAGCUUUGAUUUGGCCUCUGCAUGUUUGUGGUAUUUGAAAUUAUGGUUUGUUUUGGGGAUUGGAUAUUGGGAUUUAAGUUGAAUUCGUAUGGGUAUUCUUUCAGAAAUUUUUGUUGUUUCUGUGUUGGAAUUAAAAUAACUAUGCAUUCUGGGUUUUUACAUUAGUGUCUCUGCUGUUGUUUUGGGUUUUUUUUUUAAUUUUUAGUGAUUUUUAUGUGGUGUUUAUAUGUGCAAUUGACAAUCGCCUUGAGGAUGGUCUCAAACGGUUUUUCAUCAACUCAUCUACUGAAUCCACAAAACCGACUGCAGCUUCAUUGACUGAAUGAACUGGUGCCUAUACUGCCUGCUUGGACUUUUUCUUCAUGGAUCUGGAAAUUGUGGUUCUUCGGAUUUGGGGGUUUUGUUUGCAGCCUUCAGAGCCCUGUGUAUUUAAGGUUUCAUUUGAUGCCAGAGGGAAUAGUAGAGUUCGGUUUGAUGGAAUUGGAGUUUAACAACUUAAUGGUAGACGAUUAAUAGCUCUCAUUGGGAUCUUAACACUCCAUCAUUAAAAUCCUUUUUGUGUGAUAUUCUCCUCCAGGCACUGUUGCAAAUAAACAAGCCGUCAAGGCUUUUACAUAAGACUUGAUCAAAGAGGCAGUGGCAAGUAUAUUUCAAAAGGCUAUUAGUAUUCAUUCAAUGAUCAAGGCAUAUGACAAUCAUUGUAUACUAAGUCACAUGUUUCAGCUCCCUGGUUUGUUAUUAAAGAAGAAAUUGCAAUAGUGAAGAGGAACAAACCUAAAACAAGUGCUAUUCUAUCAAAAGACCUUAUUUUCACAACAUCGGAGUUUUGCAGGGGAAAGAUAAACUCAUGAUGAUGAAGGAGGAUGUUCUGCAGAUUAGGGAUACGGGUACUACUGUCAAAUACAACUUCCCUAUGAAUUUGAUUAUCAAGCAAGUACUGCAGAAGGGCUCUGCCCCACCCGGUGGUUCAGAUCCGACCAACCCUUGAAGUUGUAACAAAUUAAUAAGACUCAACAAAGGCGGGAUUCUUGCAUGUCAUGGCCAGAUGACGAGUACAAUACUCACAUGAAAAAUGAUGUCGAUGAGUUUAUCCUGCAAAGAGGGCCACAUCGAUCCACAUAUCAAAUUUUAGCCAUCAACCAAAGAUUCUUUUUUUUUUUUUUGCAUAUAAUAUGCAAUUAAUUUUAUAUUCUUUCUAAUGAAUAAUUAAGGAAAGAACAAACUGUUGGUUUCUCGUUUUAGCUUAAUAAGUUGUGUAAGCUGUAAAAAAAUUGUGUAUUAGCUUAUCAAUGUAUAUGAGUUUGACAGAAUAUAAUACAAAUGACAGAAAAAAUCUUUAUUUGAAAA